UACGUAGGUGGCAAGCGUUGUCCGGAUUUACUGGGCGUAAAGGGCGUGCAGGCGGUUUGUUAAGUGCAGGGUGAAAGCUCCCGGCUCAACUGGGAGAGGUCCUUGCAUACUGGCGAACUCGAGGGAGGCAGAGGAAAGUGGAAUUCCCGGUGUAGUGGUGAUAUGCGUAGAUAUCGGGAGGAACACCUGUGGCGAAGGCGGCUUUCUGGGCCUUACCUGACGCUGAGACGCGAAAGCGUGGGGAGCAAACAGG
rnacentral:rRNA from 1 species